GAUGAACGCUGGCGGCGUGCUUAACACAUGCAAGUCGAACGAAGCACUUUUAUGGAUUUCCUUCGGGACUGAUUAUGUGGUGACUGAGUGGCGGAUGGGUGAGUAACGCGUUGGUAACCGGCCUUGUACAGGGGGAAAACAGGCUGAAACGGCAGCUAAUAUCCCAUAAACGCACGGCAUCGCAUGAUGCAGUGGGAAAAACUUCGGUGGUAUAAGAUGUACCCGCGUUGGAUGAGCUAGGUGGAGAGGUAACGGCCCACCAAGGCGACGAUCCAUAGCCGACAUGAGAGGGUGGCCGGACACAUUGGCACUAGGACGCGGCCCAAACUCCUACGGGAGGCAGCCGUGGGGAAUAUUGCCCAAUGGGCGAAAGCCUGAUGCAGCGACGCCUCGUGAGCGCAGAAGUAUUUAGGUAUGUACAGCUCUAUCAGCAGGGACGAUACUGACGGUACCUGACUAAGAAGCACCGGCUAAAUUCGUG
rnacentral:rRNA from 1 species